CUAAGGAGACUGCCGGUGACAAACCGGAGGAAGGUGGGGAUGACGUCAAGUCAUCAUGGCCCUUACGGCCUGGGCUACACACGUGCUACAAUGGUCGGUACAGAGGGUUGCCAAGCCGCGAGGUGGAGCUAAUCCCACAAAACCGAUCGUAGUCCGGAUCGCAGUCUGCAACUCGACUGCGUGAAGUCGGAAUCGCUAGUAAUCGCGAAUCAGAAUGUCGCGGUGAAUACGUUCCCGGGCCUUGUACACACCGCCCGUCACACCAUGGGAGUGGGUUGCACCAGAAG
rnacentral:rRNA from 1 species